rnacentral:rRNA from 1 species
GAUGAACGCUGGCGGCGUGCCUAAUACAUGCAAGUCGAGCGAACAGACGAGGAGCUUGCUCCUCUGACGUUAGCGGCGGACGGGUGAGUAACACGUGGAUAACCUACCUAUAAGACUGGGAUAACUUCGGGAAACCGGAGCUAAUACCGGAUAAUAUAUUGAACCGCAUGGUUCAAUAGUGAAAGACGGUUUUGCUGUCACUUAUAGAUGGAUCCGCGCCGCAUUAGCUAGUUGGUAAGGUAACGGCUUACCAAGGCAACGAUGCGUAGCCGACCUGAGAGGGUGAUCGGCCACACUGGAACUGGGACACGGUCCAGACUCCUACGGGAGGCAGCAGUAGGGAAUCUUACGCAAUGGGCGAAAGCCUGACGGAGCAACGCCGCGUGAGUGAUGAAGGUCUUCGGAUCGUAAAACUCUGUUAUUAGGGAAGAACAAAUGUGUAAGUAACUAUGCACGCAUUGACGGUACCUAAUCAGAAAGCCACGGCUAACUACGUG